AGGCCUAAAGCAAAAGGCUUCGUGUUUCGUGUCUGGCUAAGCAUAGAGGCUUCCAUUCGCUUAGGAUGAGCCCCGUGCCCCACUUGAUUUUUGGAAGCAAAGGUGCUUUAAACAAUAUAAAGCAACAAGAGCUAGCAAAGCGGGGGGGUGGGGGGUGGCCUGGGGACUUAGCUCAGCGGCACAGCGCCUGCCUGGCAAGCACGAUGUCGUGAGUUCGAUUCCCGGUUCCAGAAAAAAAAACAAAGAGCUAGCAAAGGGUUCGUCUGUGACCUGAACAGCCGGAUCGAGGGCCUGGCCACAUCGGAGGGGAGAGUGUUCCCCGGAUUCUCUGCCCUGCCCGCGUAACUCCUCGUCCCUGGGAACCCCCCGGGCGCCUGCAGCCUUGGGGUACCCGGCGGCCCGGUUUUUGCCCUGUGCUGCCCUUCUGCAGGAUCUUUGACCUCGUGUGACGUUGCUGUGGCCAAGUGGUCGGCUCAGGGAUGCCUUGUCCCCUGGAGUCAAGCCGGCCUCCAGGCCCUGACGUGAGGCUGGCCCAGAGGGCACCAUCUGGCAAGAGUCACCUCUCCUGCACCUGCUGCUUCUACAGACCAUUGCCUAUUUGCCAGUCAGCAGCGCAAAAGACAGAGUUAUGGUGUUUGUAUAAUUCGGAUUCACCACACCCCUCAGGGCCACUGUGUUCUCUUCGUGAGGUCGUGAGGAUAGCAGCCCACACCGUGGAGUUGUGUGUGGAAGCACAGGAGACAAGAGAAAGGCGACAGAGGCAGACACCCCCCCGCCCAACACCCUUAUUCUAAUCUUGAACUUGGCCACAGUGUGGGAUAGAGAAAUUCCCAGGACAAGGCAGAUAAAUGAAGGUUAGGUAUUUCGGAGACUCCAACCAGUGUCUACCGUUGGCCUUACUGAACUCACAUGCAGGAAAAUUAUAGUAUGUGCACAAGGCAGAAAGCGCUACGUUCUAGGUGGGAGACAAGUUCAUCAGGCUCCGUGGCUUCCCAAGGCAAGACUGCAGUGGGAGGUUGAGGGGCAGUGCCACUGGAAGGAGU
rnacentral:lncRNA from 1 species